rnacentral:rRNA from 1 species
UCCUACGGGAGGCAGCAGUAGGGAAUCUUCCGCAAUGGACGAAAGUCUGACGGAGCAACGCCGCGUGAGUGAUGAAGGUUUUCGGAUCGUAAAACUCUGUUGUUAGGGAAGAACAAGUUGGGUAGUAACUGACCCAACCUUGACGGUACCUAACCAGAAGGCCACGGCUAACUACGUGCCAGCAGCCGCGGUAAUACGUAGGUGGCAAGCGUUGUCCGGAAUUAUUGGGCGUAAAGCGCUCGCAGGCGGUCUUUUAAGUCUGAUGUGAAAGCCCACGGCUUAACCGUGGAGGGUCAUUGGAAACUGGAGGACUUGAGUACAGAAGAGGAGAGUGGAAUUCCACGUGUAGCGGUGAAAUGCGUAGAGAUGUGGAGGAACACCAGUGGCGAAGGCGACUCUCUGGUCUGUAACUGACGCUGAGGAGCGAAAGCGUGGGUAGCGAACAGGAUUAGAUACCCUGGUAGUCCACGCCGUAAACGAUGAGUGCUAGGUGUUAGGGGGUUUCCGCCCCUUAGUGCUGAAGUUAACGCAUUAAGCACUCCGCCUGGGGAGUACGGCCGCAAGGCUGAAACUCAAAUGAAUUGACGGA